rnacentral:rRNA from 1 species
UCCUACGGGGGGCAGCAGUGGGGAAUAUUGCACAAUGGGGGAAACCCUGAUGCAGCAACGCCGCGUGAGUGAAGAAGUAUUUCGGUAUGUAAAGCUCUAUCAGCAGGGAAGAGAAUGACGGUACCUGACUAAGAAGCCCCGGCUAACUACGUGCCAGCAGCCGCGGUACUACGUAGGGGGCAAGCGUUAUCCGGAAUUACUGGGUGUAAAGGGUGUGUAGGCGGGUUUGCAAGUCAGAUGUGAAAAUUAUGGGCUCAACCCAUAACC